CGGGCCGCGCUGAGGGCGCCGGCCCUGAGCCCCCCGGCAGCGUCACCUGGUGCCGCCCGGGGCGGGGCGGGAAGCCGGCACUUCUUCCUCGGAGCCCCGGGGGUGGAGAGAGGGGCUGGGGGAGGUUCUCUUCGUCCCCGUUGAAGAGAGCGGAGUGAGUGGAAAGCAUCUGAAAAUUGGACUUGUCUUUUCAGGUCUGUGGACGUGAGUUUUACCUUGGAGUUAGAGACAGCAUUUUUGGCACUGUUGUAAGGUGAACAAGUAUUUUGGCUGUUGAUCCUGUUGAUACCACUCUUCCCUGCUCUUGCUGCUUCCGUGUUGACUGAAGUUGUUCAAACUCAAGUCUGUUGCCAAAAGAACAGCACCAUCCUCGACAGCACAUUUCUGCACCUCCCUCUGUGGUCCUGACGAACUUCUUCUGGUGUCAGUAACAGAUCGUUUACCAUGAGCAAUUCUACUCCAACUACAGACAAUGGGAAGAAAAAAAUCAAAGGGGGCAAAUCACAAUGUUUGCCUUCACGUGUCCUUCAUAUUCGUCAAAUUCCAAGUGAUGUUACUGGAGCAGAAGUCAUUGCAUUAGGUCUCCCUUUUGGCAAAGUAACCAAUUUCUUGAUGCUAAAAGGAAAAGGUCAGGCAUUUUUGGAAAUGGCUUCUACAGAAGCUGCUGUUUCUAUGGUGAACUACUAUACUCCUGCUACACCUCACCUCCACAAUCGGCCAGUUUAUAUUCAGUAUUCCAAUUACAAAGAACUUAAGACUGAAAAUCUACAUAAUCAGGCUAGACCCCAGGCUGCAUUGCAAGGUGUGAAUGCUGUGCAGCAUGGAAGCCUGGCUAUUACAAAUACUCUUGAUGGUGAAGGUGGACACCUUCCAAGUCAAGGUUCUGUUCUUCGAAUCGUUGUUGAAAAUGUUUUUUACCCUAUCACUUUAGAAAUGCUGUAUCAGAUUUUCUCUAAAUUUGGAUAUGUCUUGAAGAUUGUCAUGUUCCAUAAGAACAAUCAAUUCCAAGCGUUGCUCCAAUACGCUGAUGCAAUGAAUGCAUAUUGUGCCAAAAUGUCUCUGGAUGGCCACAGUAUCUAUCCUGGGUGCUGCACUCUGCGUAUUGAUUUCUCCAAGUUAAAUACCCUAAAAGUAAAGUACAACAAUGACAAAAGCAGAGAUUUCACUCGCAUUGAUCUUCCUUUUGGUGAUGGCCAACGAACCCUGGAUGCAUCAUUAACUGCUACCUUUGCCACUCCAAAUACGAUAUUCCCAUCAUAUCCAGGGGCUGCUGGAUUUGCCCAACCCUUGGGCUUUCCUCAAGGUGCUGGUAUUUCAGUUCCAGCUGCUCCUGGAGCACUUGGUUCUCUCACAAUCACCCCGUCAACAGUGUCUGGACAGAUUCCUGGUGUUACUGGUAUUCCAGGAAAUUCUGUUUUACUGGUCAGCAACCUCAACCCUGAAGCCAUCACACCAUAUGGACUUUUCAUCCUAUUUGGUGUAUAUGGUAAUGUACAUCGUGUGAAGAUUAUGUUUAAGAAAAGAGGAAUUGCUUUGGUUCAGAUGGCAGAUGCAACCCAGGCUCAAUUAGCUAUCAACCACUUGAAUGGACAGAGGCUUUAUGGAAGGGUCAUGCAUACUACUCUUUCAAAAUAUCAGACAAUUCAACUUCCUCGUGAAGGGCAAGAAGACAAAGGUCUGACAAAGGACUAUAGCAAUAGCCCUUUACAUCGCUUUAAGAAUCCUGGCUCUAAGAACUGCCAAAAUAUUUUUCCUCCAUCUGCCACCCUGCAUCUCUCCAACAUCCCGCCUUCUGUUACUGUUGAUGAUUUGAAGAACCUUUUUGCAAGUAAAGGAUCUACUGUGAAAGCCUUCAAAUUUUUCCAGAAAGAUUGCAAAAUGGGUCUUAUCCAACUGGGCUCUGUGGAAGAAGCAGUUCACGCUCUCAUUGAGCUUCACAAUCAUGACUUUGGAGAAAACCAGCAUCUCCGAGUUUCCUUCUCAAAAUCUACAAUAUGAAUUUUCUGUGCACUUUCCUUUUAAUAUAGUAAAAUCUUCAGAGACUGAGAAAGCUGAGACCAGCUCUGUCUCUUAAAAGAAGAAGCUCAUUCAUACACAAAGAAUUAGGUGAUGAUUCUGAAUUUUCUGAUUCUAUCUGCAAGUAUGUGAUCCAUAGAAAGAUUAUUCUGUGAAAUAGCUUUAGCAACAAUAUUUAUCAAAUUUCCUACUUAAAAUUAUAUUUUGAGAACAUCCUUUAUGUUUUUAUUCUAAAUUAGCCUUAGAAAACAUUUUAGAGUGCUUUCACAAUACACCAAACAAAGAGUAUUAUUAACAAAAUGGUAAAUAUACUCUACGAAGAUUAAACACUAAUUUGAAUGCGAAGUAGCGCUCGGGUUUCUUGAAGAAAAGCAAGCAGUGACUGUAAUAAUAACAGGUACCUGGAGCAGUCCCAAAGAAAAGAAAUAGUUGAAGGUCUAAAUGAAGAAAGCUUUUACCUUGGCAGACUAAUGUCUUCACUGUAAGCAGUUUCUCGGGUCUCAGAAACUCUACAAUAUUCAUGAGUGGGAAGCUACCAUGCAUAAACUUCCUUCUAAGCACUUUCCAUUUAAUUUUGAAUAUGUUUUACACUUACUGCAAAAGUUCACCCUGGAACUGCAGCAACACAAGACCAAGGUUGUUAACCAAGCAGAUUCUUGCAUCAAUCAGAAUGUCAUUUCACUCUCUGACCAAAGACUGUUCUAGUUUUACUGAGACAUGUGAAAAACCUUUUUUCUCUCACACUCCUUUCUGAUGGGAAGACCCAAUGCCAAGGGGACUUUGUUUGAGACUUCUGUUGGUGAUUGAAACAACGGAAAAUGAGAUUGUAAUGUGAACCAAAUGGUGUGAGAUAAGGCAAAAGGUUAAUGGACUACUUUUAGUACUGUAUUCAAGACACAGAAACAUGUCUAAGAAUUGCUGUCAUUCCCUCAUUUUACAUGAUCUGUUCAUAAGUGUUCCCUUUCAGUUUAUAAAAAUGUUCAUCUAACACAAGAAAAUACUGUAAAUAUUUGUAACAUCAUGUUUUGUUUUGUUUUUUUUUAACCUGGCAAAAAAGUGUUUGGGGGAACAAAUGGGAAUGUAAACUGUUUUUAUAUAAAAAAGAUUGUCUGUAUAUUUUAAUAAGCAACAGCUUUCAUUUGUAAAGUAUCUUAUGGCAUUGCUUGAAAAGUAUUCCAUAUCUGUUGAGAUGACUUAAAAACUGAAAGAAGAUAUAAGAUGUAUUAAAGAAACCUAUUUUGGGACUGUGUAGUGCAUGGUGAAUUUGGUUAUGCUGUAAUAUAUUCUGUUUGUUUAGGUUAGUGUGUUUUCUGAUUAUUUAGUACCUAUACCUAGCUCUUUUCCUAACUAGUUGUUAUAGCAUGUCUUUUAAUAAAUGUCAUUACAGCUGUACUCUCUUAAA